UACGAAGGGGGCUAGCGUUGUUCGGAAUCACUGGGCGUAAAGCGCACGUAGGCGGACUUUUAAGUCAGGGGUGAAAGCCUGAGGCUCAACCUCAGAACUGCCCUUGAUACUGGGAGUCUUGAGUAUGGUAGAGGUUGGUGGAACAGCAAGUGUAGAGGUGAAAUUCGUAGAUAUUUGCUAGAACACCAGUGGCGAAGGCGGCCAACUGGACCAUAACUGACGCUGAGGUGCGAAAGCGUGGGGAGCAAACAGG
rnacentral:rRNA from 1 species